UUCCCAGAUUAUCCUGCUUUUCUCCAUCAUCCCCAUCCCCUCUGUUCAUUUGAGCCUCACUGUAAGCUUGGCUAGCUAGAAACCAAAGUUCACUUAGUCUUCACAUCCUGCAGAGACAGCUUAGGGCAGAAUGUGCAUGGAACUCCUGAUGGCAUGACAGCUAAGAUGCAUAGCUCCCAGACCCAGGAAUGCCAGCCAAUUCCUUAAGAAGAUGAAGUAACAGACCAGAGUACAGCUUCAAAAAUCACACGCAAUAUCCUAUUCAGAACCUCAGAACAGGGUUUCAGCUGAGAAGUUACAGGAAAGACAACAAUGAAGACAAGAGCAGAAAAGAGAAUUCACUGAAGCUACAAAUGUCCUGGCUUGUUCCACCGUCCGGGCUGAUGGUGCUGCCCAUGUAUGUGAAUGUUUCUACAUUGGUGAGAACAUAAUCCUCU